GUGGAGCCUGCGAAACUGCACGUGAGCUUUUCGGAUCGCUGGCGCCGACCGCGCUAUCGUGCAGAAACGCCGCGCGUUUGUAACGCGGAGCGGCUGCCUCCAUCUUCCCGCGCGGGCUCCAGCGGCGCCUCUCGUUCCCUUGACGCGGCCGCAGCGAUCCGGCCGGGAGCGCGGCAGCGGCACGCGGGCUGCGGCGCCGGAGGCCUCUGCCCUGGGCUGUCCCGAGCUGCCGCUGGUCGCAGGUCUCGCCAGGGCGCCGACGCCGUUGCCCUUCUCCCCCUGAGCGGCGACAGGGUCUGAGCGCCCGUGAGAGCGACGCGGCGCCGCGAUGAGGGAGAAUUACGACGCCCUGCUCGCCCUGGGUUCCCCCGUGGCCAAGCCGGAACCCGUGCCGCACGUGGAGCAGGCCAUGGAAGAGCCGCGCGCCCAGGCGCAGGGGCACGCGGAGGAGACGGAGGCGCCGGGCUGCGCCGGCUCAGCGAGGUUGGUGGUCCCCAAGUCGGAGGCGAUGCCCGAGGGCGACGGCGAGGAGCAGCAGUGCCGCGGGGACCCGAGGGCUCCCGAGGAGCAGCCGAGCGCGGAGCACAGCUGCUUGGAGGACUGGCUGGUGCGGAAGGUGAAGGUGGAGGAGGAGUACGAGGAGUGGCCGUCCGGCGCGGGCGCCGAAGACCCGCUGGCGGGGCAGCCGCCGGGCGGCACCUUGGCGGUGGACGCCUGCAAGCCGGAGCAGCCGAGCCCGGAGGAGCUGGGCUACGGCGCGCUGCCCACCUUC
rnacentral:lncRNA from 1 species